rnacentral:lncRNA from 1 species
AUGAACCAGAAGCUUCCCCCCCUUCCUCCAGCGAGAAGGGCAGCAUGGCUAGGUCAGCCAAUCAGAGUAACGAGGCUCGGCCGCUUGGCAAAAUGAGAUUAAUCUAAAUCAAAUACUUUCCACCUUGGCAAUUUUAACUAAUUCCCUCAGGAAAGUACAAGAAAUAACCGGAAGCCCCCACAGGCCCGCAAGCCUCCUGGUACGGGCAGGCAGGUAAUACCUUUUAAGCCUGUUAAUAUCUUAUCCUGCUGGGUUCUACAACUGACUCAAAGAAUAGCCGCCGCUCCUCAACCCCGCAUUACAAAGAAAUGCAGCUUUCAGGGAGGAAGACCAAAAGUCACGGGCUACACAGCGGAUGGCUUUAUUCGGCGGCGGGAACUCCGAGUGCCUUGAUUAAAUUGCUUCCCGCAUUGUCUUUCUGCCUCUGUCCCAGCAAUCAUCAGAGGAUCUAAACUGCCAGGCUCUGAGGGCUGUGCGGAGAGAGAUUCAGGCUGCAGAUUAGAGAGGCUUCCUUCCUCCUGCAAGAUGCAUGUGCUUUCCGGCGUGGUUUGGCGGGACCCGCGCCCACGGACGGACCUGGUGGAGGACAGCGCAGUUCUGGAGGCUGAGGAGCCCAAGAUCACGGCACCAGCAGAUUCCACGUCUGGUGAGGGCUCGCUUUCUGGUUCACGGACUGCCAUCUUCUCUCUGUCACCUCAUAUGGUGGAAGGGGUGAGGGGUUUCUCUGGGACCUCUUUUAUGAGGACCCUAAAUCCUAUUCCUGAAGGUCUGCCCUCAUGACCUAAUCACCUCCCAAAGGCCUCACCUCCAAACCCCAUCGUGUUGGGGAUUGUUUCAACAUAGGGC